rnacentral:misc_RNA from 1 species
CUCUCCCUCACUCACUUGCUCAGUCAGUGUAGUGUGGCCGCCGCGUGCGUGUGUGUGUGCGUGGUGGUCUCUCAGUGUGUGUGUGCGUGUGUGUGCGCGCUGUGGCUGGGUGGACGCUCUGGCCUAGGUGGAGCUGAAUAUUCCACCUCCACCUCCACCACUACUACACUCCUCACCACAGCAGAGUGACAUGAGGUAAAGGAGUACAGAGAAACACUGCACAUCAACAGCAAACAAAACAGUAACGAAACAAGUGCACGAUAAAGAAAACAACGUAAAAGGGGAAAAAGACUCGAGAAAUCUGAGGAAACCCAAGAGAAAACUGAAACAUUGAGAAAUAAAAGGAAAUUUCACUUAAAAGAAGAAAAUAGGAGACAAGUUCAGCGCUGUGUGGGAAAAGACUCCAUUUGUACAGGAACUUCAGAUACAAAGAAUAGAGACAAAAUAGAUAUAUAAAAGAGAAACUGUAAAAAAUAAAAACGAAAGUGAAGAAUUUUGGAAAAAGAUAAAGAAGAAAAAAAAAUCUGAGAAAAGAAAGAAAAGAGUAUUGAGAAAAAAAGUGAAAUCAGUGAAAUCAGUGGUCACCGGAAGUUUGUAAAGGAGAAAGAACAUACAAACAAACAAAGGAGAAGUUCUGCAGACAUUUCCGUGUUGAGAGGAAGUGAUACUACCAUAAGAACUACUACUACUACUACCACCAUCACUGCCAUUAUGAAGAGAAGGCGGGGAACGUGAUAUAGACAGACACACGUGAUAAAAAGAACCCUAGAGACUAGAGGACGCCAACCCAUAACUGGUGCAUGCCCUUACACCCUCACGUCCACACUGCAGCAGUUCUCCCAUGGGCAGGGCAGGCGUCACGAUGUUCACACGAAGUUUGGCCAUCAAUCAACGCUGCAGUUGACCUCGCCCUCCCCACGGCCUCAUAGUGCCCACAGAGUGAAGGGCAAGGUGGGCAGCACUGUGGGCGGGGCAGGCGUGGGUGAGUUGCCUCUGCCGCAGUAUGGAAUCAGGGCGGGUGUCGUAUAGUGACGCCCGGAACAUCCCGCACAUGCAGCUCUUCCACCACCUCAAGCAGAAGUUCCCGGACCUCAGGGACAAUGACGUCAAUGAGAGCAUACAGAAGUAUGGCCUUGACCGCGAGCGUUGCGAGGAGGAACUGUCACAGCGGACACAGGUUCACCCUGGGGGCUACUACGGGCCGUGGGGGCGCUCCUCUCCUGCCACCUCCAGGCUCACCUCCCCUGUGCGUGCCUCUACCCCCUCCACCCCCACCACCCCACUGCUUGCUUCCUCCUCCCCUGGCGUGGUGGGACCCCUGCAGCCUGGCGGGGAGUACCUGGUGUACAGCCCCGGUACAGGUGGGGGCACCACCCCAUUCUUCACAUCGACCCUGGCCACCAGCUCGACGGCGCUGCUCCCUUCCCCGGCAGGCAGCCCACUGAGCUACGGCUGGCAACCCAGUGUGGCCAAUGGUUUCCGUCCCACCUCAAGACAACCCCAGGACGGUCCCGCCAGGCUGGGGGACAUCCCACAAGGUUCCCGGGACCGGUCCAAGUCACGCUCCGGCACACCUGUCACGCCCAGCUCAGCUCCAGUGGUACCAAACUCCCACGACCCCUUCGCCUGUGAGCUGCCAGAGCGGCGGCGCAGUGCGGAGACCUGCUCUGUGGUGCAGCUGGAGGGGCUGUGCCUCUCCCCUCUCCCCCAACGCCACGCCAUGGAUCCGCCUGCUGGUUUGGCGGCCACGGCUACGGCCACCACCACCAUUAUCACAACCACCACUACCAUUGCCCCCCUCACCACCACCACUGCUACCACCACCACCACCUCCACAACCAUCAACUGUACAAACCUCAGCCCAGUCGACGGUGGCAGCAGCAACAGCAACAGCAGCACCAGCAGCAGCAGCAGUGGCAGUAGCGGCGGCGGCGGCAGUAGGAGCAGCGGCCGCCCUCCUCCAGCACUCCUGCAGGACCAGCUGAUGCGGAAGGAGCGGCUGGCAGUGGAGCUGAGCCACCAGGUGGAUGAGAAGGGGCGGUUGGAGGCAGAGGUGGAGGCCAUGGUGCGGGAGCUGCAGGCGCGGGAACAGCAGCGCAAACACAACACUGACACAAACGCAAUGAGGAUAGAGGAAGUUCAGCAGGAGAACCAGAGGCUACAGUCUGAGUGUUAUGAGAUGGAGAACAGAAUACUGCGUCUCAUGCCAGACUUUGAACUUGACAUCUACUCUAACCUGACAACACCACAGACGCCCUAUAAUGAGGGUGCACCAGUCCAGCCUCCACCACAGCUCACCAGAGGAAGCUCCGGGUCCAGCUUGGGGAGUGAAAUGGGCACCCCCAAUACUCCCAACACUCCCCACACACCUGUCUACCCCACCCGCCCAGCGCCCCCUCCCCCUGCACCCCCUCCCCCAUCCCUCCCCAACCACAGCUACAGCCAAUACCAGGGGCGAGGCGGGGAGCGGGUGGAGGAGGCGAGUCACAAGUGGGGCUGCACCAAGUGCACCUUCAUCAACCACCCUGACAUGAGCAUGUGCGAGAUGUGCGACUUUCCCCGCUUCACCAUAGGUACGACUCCCUCCCGACAGACAGCCUCUACUUCCCCCCACCACCAGGGCCCCUGCUACUGCCACCAUCGUCACCACCACCUCCAACAUACCGCAGGUCCACCCGCAGGUUCACCCAGACCCGAUGGUGCUGUCUUGCCACACACCAGCUCCUGCUCUUCCCUCCCUCUAUCGCAGGGCAAACCCAGCCUCACUAACAUCCUCAAGGACAAAUUCUUGAGCCUCAGGGACCGCCGCUCCGACAGUGUUUGAGGACUGAGGACGAUGUCUGUGUAUGUGUGUGUAUGAGAGAGAGAGAGAGAGAGAAAGAGAGAGAGAGAGAGAGAGAGAGAGAGAGAAAAGUAUAUAAAGGAAAAUAGAAAAGGGAACUGCUACAGUGAGGUUCAAGAGUUAUUUUCUUUAUAGAGCAUUCAGUAUGUUGAACAAUUUAGAAAAGAACUGAGAAUGUCUAAAACUGGAUAAUUGUAGACAUAGGACAACACAAGCACUAGGUAAACGGAUACAGUGACACACAUACAGUUUUCCCCUUUCAGCAUGCAAUCUAUAGUGAUAGAGUUAACCCUCACUUAACAUGACAAGUUUAGUAAAUUUUAUUUUGGGGUAAAGUCUUCUUCAUCUUGGUGUACAGUAAAGUCAUGCUCUGAUGAAGUGAAAAUAAUGUAAGUUGAAAGAAACUGUAAUUGGCUUCAGGUGAAGUUGACUUAGGAAAUUGUAAAUUUGUGUAUUGGAUGAGUCUGUGGAUAUUCUAUUUCUUCAUGCAAAAAUAUAAUAUUGGAUCUUGUU